GACGAACGCUGGCGGCGUGCUUAACACAUGCAAGUCGAACGAGUGGCGAACGGGUGAGUAACACGUGGGUGAACUGCCUUGCACUUCGGGAUAAGCUGGGGAAACUGGGGCUAAUACCGGAUAGUGCAAGAUGAGCCGGCGGCCUAUAAGCUUGUUGGUGGGGUAAUGGCUACCAAGGCUCGACGGGUAGCCGGCCUGAGAGGUGGUACGGCCACAUUGGGACUGCGAUACGGCCCAGACUCCUACGGGAGGCAGUCGUGGGGAAUACUGCACAAUGGGCGGGAGCCUGAUGCAGCGACGCCGCGUGGGGGAUGAAGGCCUUCGGGUUGUAAACUCCUUUCGACAGGGACGCGGUACCUGUAUAAGAAGCACCGGCUAACUACGUGCCAGCAGCCGCGGUAAUUC
rnacentral:rRNA from 1 species